rnacentral:rRNA from 1 species
UACGUAGGGGGCAAGCGUUGUUCGGAUUUACUGGGCGUAAAGGGCGCGUAGGCGGCCAGCGCAAGUCAGUUGUGAAAUCUCCGGGCUUAACUCGGAAAGGUCAACUGAUACUGCGCGGCUAGAGUGCAGAAGGGGCAACUGGAAUUCUCGGUGUAGCGGUGAAAUGCGUAGAUAUCGAGAGGAACACCUGCGGCGAAGGCGGGUUGCUGGGCUGACACUGACGCUGAUGCGCGAAAGCCAGGGAGCGAACGGG